AUUGAACGCUGGCGGCAUGCCUUACACAUGCAAGUCGAACGGUAACGGGCCUUCGGGUGCCGACGAGUGGCGAACGGGCGAGUAAUACAUCGGAACGUGCCCGAUCGUGGGGGAUAACGAGGCGAAAGCUUUGCUAAUACCGCAUACGAUCUACGGAUGAAAGCAGGGGACCGCAAGGCCUUGCGCGGACGGAGCGGCCGGUGGCAGGUUAGGUAGGUGGUGGGAUAAAAGCUUACCAAGCCGACGAUCGGUAGCUGGUCUGAGAGGAUGAACAGCCACACUGGGACUGAGACACGGCCCAGACUCCUACGGGAGGCAGCAGUGGGGAAUUUUGGACAAUGGGCGCAAGCCUGAUCCAGCCAUGCCGCGUGCAGGAUGAAGGCCUUCGGGUUGUAAACUGCUUUUGUACGGAACGAAAAGCCUUCUUGUAAUACAGGAGGGUCAUGACGGUACCGUAAGAAUAAGCACCGGCUAACUACGUG
rnacentral:rRNA from 1 species